CAAGUAGGAUGCAGACCUUUACAAUGAGCCACUUCAACUUAAUGAAUAGAGGUCAAGUCAUGUUACUCAACCCAGACGCCCUAAGGAAAGGGAAGAGUUCAAGAUCAAUACCCUUUAUUAGAAAAAAGUUAAAAUACAAAUUCUAUUACUGUUUACCUAGGACCUAACUUCACACGGCUGACAUUUCUCAAAGAUAGGUCAUAGGAUCCCCAUUCCAGAAAGGGUGCUGUUCCAUACCCGGAAGGAAAGAAUGCUGCACAGAGAGGCCAAGAAGAAUCUAUACAGACAGGCAGGCCUUGCUGGGUUUCCCCACUCAGUAUAUGGCUGUCCAGACUUUGCUGAACCUAAGCAUACCAAUGGGCAGUUUUCUCCUAUAUCUUUAGGUCUUUAUUCUGAAGGCUCCCAUGUCACGUAACACCAAGAUCAAAUAAAAUCAUAUGCCCUU
rnacentral:lncRNA from 10 species